rnacentral:misc_RNA from 1 species
GCCUGUCUCAAUCUGCUGGUGUCGCUUGGCGCGCAGCGCAAGAACAUCUGGGUUUGCGAUAUCGACGGUCUUGUCUAUGAAGGCCGCAAUACGCUGAUGGAUAAAUGGAAGGCCGUCUACGCGCAGAAGACCGACAAGCGUACGCUGGGCGAUGUGAUCGGCGGCGCGGACAUUUUCCUCGGCGUGUCAGCCGGCGGCGUACUCAAGCCCGA